AACGAACGCUGGCGGCAUGCCUAACACAUGUAAGUCGAACGAGACCUUCGGGUCUAGUGGCGCACGGGUGCGUAACGCGUGGGAACCUUCCCUUAGGUUCGGAAUAACUCCCCGAAAGGGGUGCUAAUACCGGAUAAUGUCUUCGGACCAAAGAUUUAUCGCCUUUGGAGGGGCCCGCGUUUGAUUAGAUUUUUGGUAGGGUAAAAGCCUACCAAGGCGAGGAUACAUAGAUGGUAUGAGAGGAUGAUCAGCCACACUGGGACUGAGACACGGCCCAGAAUACUACGGGAGGGAGCAGUGGGGAAUAUUGGAAAAUGGGGGAAAGGCUGAAAAAGCAAUGAGGGGUGAGUGAUGAAGGCAUUAGGGUUGUAAAGCGCUUUUAACCGGGAUGAUAAUGACAGUACCGGGAGAAUAAGCACCGGCUAACUACGUG
rnacentral:rRNA from 1 species